GAACGAAGUUCCUUAUCGCGCGUUAUGAAAGGGGCUAGACGAAAAGUGGUAACGACACAAAAGUGUGUCGCGUGUUUCUCUCUCUAAAGUGUGUCACGUUUC